rnacentral:tRNA from 1 species
UUAUAGGAGAGGGUUUUCCGGAGGGUGGUAGUGAGAAUGUCUGGUGAG